UAUUGAUAUUGUAAUUAAAAAACUGUUUUAUUUUUAGUUUAAAUUUUAUGUUUUUGUAUUCUAGAGAUAAUACCGUAUUUCCAAUGCAUUCUAACUUGCAAGCUAGGUUUUUCUAAAUUUCUUCUUUUAUCUUUUUGCAAAGAUAAAUAACGAAGAAUAUGGAGAAGCAUUGGCUCUUGUUCAGACCUAUAAUUUAGAUACUAAUCUUGUGUACCAGCGUCAGUGGAGAAAAAUGCCCGCUACUGUUGAGACUAUUCAUAAUUAUUUAAAAACUUGAUCUGUUAAAAAGUUUUGAAGAGUGCAGAAGAAAGUUUUUCAUUGGAUCAUAACAGCUUGGGGUUAUGCUAGAAAAUAGAAUUAGAGAUGACAUUAAUGUUAUAUGCUAAAAUUGCAAAUUUUGACUGACUGUAGAUGAGUCGAACAGUUGCAGCACAAAAUCUAUGGAACUUUUAUACUGUUUCCCCUUCUCAGUAACUCUUUCCAGGGUUAGCUGUUUUUAAACCACAGUUUAAAAUCAACUC